GAAAAUAUAUGAAUAUUUAUCAUUUUCAUUUGUGCAAUAUUGCAAGGAGAAAAGAUUACAUAUCAUGUUAUACAAUUUCUCAAUUUCUCAACAAGACGUAUAAAUAUUCUCAAACUUUUUUGCCACAAAUGAAUACUAAGUAGAAUAUAUUUGAUGCAAGCAGGAAGAUAAGAGUGUUGAAAGGAAUAUUUUCGGAUUGCCACCAUAAGAUUAAAAAAAAUAUAUUAUUGUUUUCAGCUCUAUUUAUUUUGCUUAUUAAAAGACAUUCAAAAUGAACAACCUAGCUGCAAAAACAGUUGUUUAAGAUGGAAAAACAUACAAAAAAUUGUACUUUUUGAAUAUGCAUGUAUAGAUAGAAAAGGGAUAGACAAAGAAUCUAAAGCUACUGAUUCCAUUUUUUCGCUUCAAUUCCACUAUAAUUGGCAAGGGAAAUGAAGCUGAGGAAUUUCCGGCCACAACCCUGUGGGAAAUUUUGAAGUCAAGGAAAAGUUUGAGCAAGAUCAAAUACAUAACUAGAAAAAAAUAGGGUAUUUCUCUAAAGAUCAAGGAUACCAUAAAGAUGUUCAUAGAUCUGCCAAAAUAAUGCAGUAAAUAUCAGAGUAUGUGUCAUCUUCGAAAAACAAUGGGCAACGCCGCUAUUUUUGACAAAGCAUAAAACUUACAGACGAGAAAGGGGACGAUAUCUGGACCCUAGGCUUGGGCGACUCCGUCGUUUGAAAACGGGACGGCGGUGGCUGGAUACGGGCUGUGCAGAGGGAGGCCGCAGCACAUUCGUCGUCACCGAGGAGGAAGGCGACACCGCCUAGAUGUGACGGCGGAGUCGGUGGUUUGGACUAGGGAGAGUGAUUGAGAGGGAGAAAAUCGGCGUCGUCGCUAAACCACCGGAGGAGAAAAAGGAGAGUGAGCAUCUGGUUUGAGUGUGUUGAGCGGCGCAUUUGGAAGGAGGAGGAAGGUUUGGUUGGGAGAAGAAAACCGAGGGAUGUAGCAGAAGACAGAGGAAGGUUUGGGGUAGAAAAGAAACGAGGGAGAAGAUGAAGGGAGUAGCGGCGCUGAUUCAUCUUCAAACCCUAAAAUGAGAGAGUAUUUGAGCAAUGAACCCUAAAAAGGUGUAGAAGG
rnacentral:lncRNA from 1 species